rnacentral:rRNA from 1 species
GACGAACGCUGGCGGCGUGCUUAACACAUGCAAGUCGAGCGGUAAGGCCCUUUCGGGGGUACACGAGCGGCGAACGGGUGAGUAACACGUGGGUGACCUGCCCUUAGCUCUGGGAUAAGCCUGGGAAACUGGGUCUAAUACCGGAUAUGACUCCAUGACGCAUGUUGUGGGGUGGAAAGCCUUGUGCGGCUAGGGAUGGGCCCGCGGCCUAUCAGCUUGUUGGUGGGGUGAUGGCCUACCAAGGCGACGACGGGUAGCCGGCCUGAGAGGGCGACCGGCCACACUGGGACUGAGACACGGCCCAGACUCCUACGGGAGGCAGGCAGUGGGGAAUCUUGCGCAAUGGGCGAAAGCCUGACGCAGCGACG